GUCUCGGUGGCGCAAUUGGUAAGCAUGAUCCCAGACAAUUUUCACUCCAGUUAGUAGAUUACUAACACCUAGAAAAGGUUAGCGCGUACGACUGUUAAUCGUGAGGUUGAGAGUUCGAUCCUCUCCCGGGACG
rnacentral:tRNA from 1 species